rnacentral:rRNA from 1 species
GAUGAACGCUGGCGGCGUGCCUAAUACAUGCAAGUCGAGCGAACAGACGAGGAGCUUGCUCCUCUGACGUUAGCGGCGGACGGGUGAGUAACACGUGGAUAACCUACCUAUAAGACGGGGAUAACUUCGGGAAACCGGAGCUAAUACCGGAUAAUAUAUUGAACGGCAUGGUUCAAUAGUGAAAGACGGUUUUGCUGUCACUUAUAGAUGGAUCCGCGCCGUAUUAGCGAGUUGGUAAGGUAACGGCUUACCAAGGCAACGAUGCGUAGCCGACCUGAGAGGAUGAUCGGCCACCCUGGAACUGAGACACGGUCCAGACUCCUACGGGAGGCAGCAGUGGGGAAUUUUGGACAAUGGGCGAAAGCCUGACCCAGCCACCCCGCGUGGGUGAAGAAGGCCUUCGGGUCGUAAAGCCCUUUUAUUGGGAAAGAACAAAAGUAGGUUAAUCCCUCGCCGUUCUGACGGUACCUAAAGAAUAAGCACCGGCUAACUUCGUG